rnacentral:rRNA from 1 species
UACGAAGGGGGCUAGCGUUGUUCGGAAUUAUUGGGCGUAAAGGGCGCGUAGGCGGUGCGGUAAGUCUGUAGUGAAAUCUCUGGGCUCAACUCAGAGUCUGCUGCAGAAACUGCCGUGCUUGAGUGUGGGAGAGGUGAGUGGAAUUCCCAGUGUAGAGGUGAAAUUCGUAGAUAUUGGGAAGAACACCGGUGGCGAAGGCGGCGACCUGGUCCUUGACUGACGCUGAGGCGCGAAAGCGUGGGGAGCAAACAGG